UAUCAUUUGUUGAUGGUGAAGUGAUUUUUUUACUUACAUAUCUUAGAGUACCCAAAAACAAUCAUAAUUUAUACAUGUAGUGUAAGGAAAUUACUAUUUCUGGAAGCUGUUGAUCUAUUUUCCCUUUUCUUGUUUCUGUAAUUAAGGUCAUGGACUCUUGCAUGGUUGCAUAUCACAGAGAACAAAGGCUUCUGUUCCUAUGCUAUUGCAAGACUCAGAGUCGAGAUUGAAAAAGAAACUCAUGCAUGCGAUGUGCCUGUGGUCUAGAACUUAUUGCUGUGGACAAAAUGUUUAAUGAGGAAAAGUGUUUUCCAUCAACUUCUAAGAGAAUACUUUUCCUGGCUAGUCAAGCUCUGCGUCCUGUCUCUUCGAAGAAAGAUAGUUGAAGUGCUUUUAUGAGUGACCUUUGGAUGUACUUGCUACUUGGGGUUCUAUUUCAAUAGGGAAUAAUGGGAUGAGAGAAGCUAGAUAAAUUUUGUUUGUUCUUUGUACUCUUUGUACUCUCUUUCUUUUGAUUAAGUGAAUUAUCAUUGGCAUUGUCGCCCGUGGAUGUAGCCCAACUUUGGGUGAACCACGUUAAAUAUGGUGUUUCUUGUUGUGUUUACUUUUGUUGCGUUUGGUUUGUGGGCUCGAACUAGGGAAGUAAAUUAAAUGUGACAAAUUCCUUA